UGUGUUUUUAGGAACUCUACAAGUUUCCCCCUACUCCUCCGGACUACAUCAUCAUUGGUAAAAGACAGAAAGUGCAAACAGCAGCUAGAUCUUACUGGCUGGAGGCAAAGAUGGGGUCAUAUCUCAGGCGUAGGAUAACGUGCCUUAAAUUGGAAGGCCGUGAGGUGAUGGAAUGGUACACGAAAGAGCUCAAACGGGUUCAGAAGUCCCUUUGCAACUUCGCUGAAACUCUUGACACUGAGAUACCGAAGUUUGAGGAUUUCGAAACCCACCCGCAUUCGUAUAUCCUGAAGGACCUCGUCAUCAUCCCCAAGCCACAGUCUGCGAAGAGUGGUAGGAAGAAAUAGACCACAGUCUGCGAAGAGUGACAAGAAGUUUAGGGCAGAAAGAAAUAGACCUUUGAGCUCAUCGUCUGUUGAUUGCUUAUAUAACCUGAUGUCUUUAGUCAUGGCUGAAUGUUUUUUAUCCUGGUAUCAGACAUGCUGUAGUGCCCUGUAUGCACUUUCAGUUUGAAAUUAUGUGUGCUAUCUGUGAUUUGCAUCUCCAAUGCCAGUUAUUAUAAUGCUUAAUUCUUGUUUCAUUUCC